rnacentral:rRNA from 1 species
CGAACGGGUGAGUAACACGUGAGUAACCUGCCCUGGACUUUGGGAUAACCCCGAGAAAUCGGAGCUAAUACCGGAUAGGACCUUUCCUCGCAUGAGGUUUGGUGGAAAGUUUUUCGGUCUGGGAUGGACUCGCGGCCUAUCAGCUUGUUGGUGAGGUAAUGGCUCACCAAGGCGUCGACGGGUAGCCGGCCUGAGAGGGUGACCGGCCACACUGGGACUGAGACACGGCCCAGACUCCUACGGGAGGCAGCAGUGGGGAAUAUUGCACAAUGGGCGCAAGCCUGAUGCAGCAACGCCGCGUGCGGGAUGACGGCCUUCGGGUUGUAAACCGCUUUUAGUAGGGAAGAAGGGCUUCGGCUUGACGGUACCUGCAGAAAAAGGACCGGCUAACUACGUGCCAGCAGCCGCGGUAAUACGUAGGGUCCGAGCGUUGUCCGGAAUUAUUGGGCGUAAAGAGCUCGUAGGCGGUUUGUCGCGUCUGCUGUGAAAACUAGAGGCUCAACCUCUAGCCUGCAGUGGGUACGGGCAGACUUGAGUGGUGUAGGGGAGACUGGAAUUCCUGGUGUAGCGGUGGAAUGCGCAGAUAUCAGGAGGAACACCGAUGGCGAAGGCAGGUCUCUGGGCACUUACUGACGCUGAGGAGCGAAAGCGUGGGGAGCGAACAGGAUUAGAUACCCUGGUAGUCCACGCCGUAAACGUUGGGCGCUAGAUGUGGGGACCUUUCCACGGUUUCCGUGUCGUAGCUAACGCAUUAAGCG